UUUGGACUGAGAUGCUGGGUGACAUCUCUGUUUUACGAUGCAGCAAAUGGAAGAUUUUACACCUCUGCCACUGGAAAUGGUGCUGAUAAAGGAAAUGGAGGAGGAAAUAACUACAUACAGGUAAGCAGCAAGAAUGAUUUUCUGAACAUUGUCAACAUAAGCUCUGUUCAUGUUCCUCCCUCUGCCUGCCGUUCUCUCUUGUUGAAGCAGCACGCCUUGCUGUGGCUGGUCAAAUGGAACCAAGUCAGGUGUUUCUGCAAGGUUUGGUCCCCUUCAACCAGCUACUGCGUCGUGAAUACAGCCAACAUAGAGCAAAGAUUAUAAGAGAGUCAUUCAGUAAAGUCUGAUAAUUAUCAUUUAAAAUGUACUAAUCCUAAGUUUUUCAUUAUUUAAUUGUCUUUUAUUUCUUCUAAAAUUCAAUAAACUAUUUUCCUUUUCAAUGUUGUGUUCAUUUUCUCCUUCUUAAUUACAAUAGUAAUUAAUUAUUCUUUAUAUAAUAAUCAUUCAGUCCCUGAGCUUGUCAUUCAUUGCCCUUGUGAAAAACAAGGGUGCUUAAUUUGUGCAAUUUCUGAAUUGUUUUGAAUGUGUACUUACAAUAGUCUGUUUAAUUAUAUUUUAUAAAUUAUUCAAUAAUUAAAUAAUUUGCGUUUUAUGUUAGAAAAAUUAAUAGUGAAAGGCGUACAUAAAAUGUCGAAUUUAGUUAGAAUCCACUCAGAUAAUGAUUAACAUUUUUUAAAGGUUAAGCGUUUUGUUUUACUGACUGAUGAAGGAAAAAAAUAUGAGUUUUCUUUUGUACCCCAUUUAUGAGAAGUGCUUGAGUUUAGUUUCGGGUUCGAGCUCUCCAUUAACAGCAAGCCUUAAAGCACUCAGAUACCAAAUAUGAACGCACUAAUAUAGUCUGUCCGUACCUGCAUUAUGCACAAUGUCACUGUGUGUGCAUGUGUGUGUGUGUCAGAUGGACAAGCAGUGUUUUUACAGGACAAGUGCUCUCAAGCAUCACUGACACUGCUGUGUAACAAACAGAGAAGAGAUGAGACUGCCAGAGGUUCGGAGAUUGAAUGAGAAGAGCAAGGUCACUCCUUCUCCGACUGUUUAUGGAUUAUAACCCAAGUCUGAAAUGAUCUGCUUGGUUUUAUUGGAUACAGUACAGCAGAAGCAGGCAGACACCUACCUUUGUCUCUGUUUCAAUAACUAUUCUUAAACUAGAAACAUUAAUUAAUUGUAUAAGACUGGUUCUCAACUGGUUCUGCAUCGUAAUGACAACAACACAAUAUCAAAACUGUUUGUUCAGCAAAAGUAACAAAAAUGUUACUAAACCGUUAAAAACUACUCACCCUCAGGUCAUCCAAGAUGUAGAUGAGUUUGUUUCUUUAUCAGAACAGAUUUGAAGAAAUUUAGCAUUGCAUCAGUUGCUCACCAAUGGAUCCUUUGCAGUGAAUGGGUGCCGUCAGAAUGAGAGUCCAAACAGCUGAUAAAAACAUCACAAUAAUCCACAAGUAAUACACACCACUCCAAGCACAGAUCAAGCAUUGCUUAUAAGAGAAAACAGUAUUUAAAAAAACAGUAACUGUUGGUGGAUUUUGAUGUGAGAAGACAACACACUGUAAAUCCCAGCUCAUCCAUUACACAAAAUUUUAGUGUAGGGUGUACACAAAUAUUCAAAAAAAUAAAAAAAAUAAUUUUGUACACUUCUUGCAAAAACACAUCCCAUAUUAGCUUGAUAUAUGUUUUAAUGUAAGUUAACAAGUGUUGAUUUCGGAGUUAACUGUACUAAAAUGUAUAAAGCCUAAUGUGUAUGUAUUCAUUGUUUUUAUCUUAAAAGGUAUUCUCACCAAAUAUCCUGAGGUAAAAUUGAUGAAUAAAUAAAGUGAUGAGUGUUUAUUUAUUUAUUUAUUUAUUUAUUGUGUUUAAUGUAUUACUG
ensembl:lncRNA